ensembl:lncRNA
CAGCAAUGACGGACUGAAACUAUGCAUUAGGGAAAGGCACAGAACCACUGAAUGUUCUGUUUUGACAUACAAGAAGUCAGUUAGAACUGUACCAACAUUCUUCAGAAUAUCUCCUUUUAUGUUCCACAGAAGAAAGUGAUAUAGGUUUGAAGCAACAUAAAGGUGUAAAUGUGCCAAGUUGGAUACUACCAGGAUCUCAACAAGUAACAGCUUCCCUUUACAUGAAGCCUCUGCAGAGCAAGGACAGUAUGAGAAAGCAGCUCACAGCAGGAAGAGGAAGUGAGACGGAAGUAACCUGGACCAGCUGGGCCUUCGCAGCCGUCUAAACAGCAUGUGAUUCCUCACAAUAAUGAUCAAAACUAGAUGAGAGGACAGAUGACAGAAAGUGAUACAGAUCCAGAGGGCCACGAUUGCUAAAACAUAGCAACUAGAUGAGGAUUUUGCAUUGGAAAACAUAAUCUCAAUGGAGUUAUGAUAUUUAUAAAAACAUAUGUAUUAAUGCUGGUCUAGUUACAGUAUCAUUUGUGCGUUUUUCCCUAUUCAAGUAUGCACUAUCAUUCAAAAGUUUGGGAUUGGGAAGAUUUUUAAUGUUUUUAAAGAAGCCUCUUCUGCUCACCAAGGCUGCAUUUAUCUGAUCAAAAAUAUAGUAAAAACGGCAAUAUCCUGAAAUAUCAAUAUCUAUUCUGAAAUAUCUAUUUUAAUAUAUUUUAAAAUGUCAUUUAUUCCUGUGCUGGCAAAGCUGAAUUUUCAGCAUCAUUACUCCAGUCUUCAGUGUCACAUGCUCCUUCAGAAAUCAUUCUAAAAUGCUGAUUUGAAACAUCUGAAACAUUAAUAAUGUUGAAAACAGGGGAAACCAUUAUACAUUUUUUUUCCAGGAUUCUUUGAUAAAUGAAAAGUUGAAUGAACAGGGGCUUCUUAAAAACCUUUAGUGAUGCAGGUUGAACAGAGUUGGAGUUUAUGUGAAUGUGCAGUAAUGACAUUAAGUGACUCCCAAUGAGAAUGCACACAUAUCACUGCUGGAUACAGCAGUCAGGCAGGAAUGCACACUAGCAACAGUACAGUGAGUUGAUGACCUCUAACAAUUAAAUGGCUGUCUGUGUGAACGCCCCUUCAGGCAGUAAUGCAUGGAAUCUGUCAUGGAAUGUGGUGAACCCUGCUAAAUACUGUAGACCCUACUGUCAAACUAUUAUCAUUUCAGUGGCAUUUUGUUAAUCUUUAAAUUCCUAAACAGCAAUAAUAGCUUUAUUUACUGAGAAAUACUCAAUUCUGCAAGUUCGGAGAAGUUAAUAUCAUCAUAUAUCAACAUUUUGCCUGACUAAUGUAUUGAGCUUGACAAACUACAGUAGAUGUGUAUAUUUGCUGUCAGCUAUGUGAAUAAAUAUGUACUACCUGUGUAAGUCAGAUAGAUUGUGUAACAGCAAAUGUAAAGCUGAAAAAAAUAACACAUGGAGGAAUAUGUGUUGGCUUUUUGACAGACAGACGCCUGGGGAGAUAUGUCACACCAAACCCAAUAUUGAGUUCAAACAAUAAUACAAUUAACAUAGUUUUAUGUUCAUUUAAGGUAUUAGGUGUUGAGCAGCAGUAGGACUAAAAAUCACUAAUAAUAACAGUUUUAUUUUGUUGAUUUAAUUAAGCCAACAUCUCACUGAUGAAGGUGCAGACAUCCAGGCUUUAUAGGAGAUGUUCAAUUAUAAGAGAGCGCCAUCUGCUGGAUAUUGAGGGCAGUUGUAGAUAUGAAUUUAAAACGGGAUCCAAUUGUAUCAGGCUAUUGUAAUCUCAACAAUAAUACUGAAACUGAUACAUAUACAGUUAAAUCAAGAUGAAUAGAUUAUAAAAGAUGAAUACAUUAUACAGAGAUAUCUGUAGUCUAAUAUUAUAGUUGCUUUGAUAAUCAUUGUUUAGACUAGAAAUGACUAAUUAUAUCAAAUGAUAGAUAUCAACAACAACAAAAGUGAAUUCACUACAGCGGUAUUUUUUGUCUUUAAAUUUAAAUUAUAUGAAAGCUUAUUAAAUUUGUUGUAAGACAAUAAUAAAGCAUUUCGAAAACAUCACUGAAUCAACAUUUGAUCAACAUUUUUGUUAAGGUGCUAAUAAGCAUUAUUUGUUGACGUCAUUUAAAUUAGUGAACAUUUGUCAUCAUAAAUGUAGAUGAAGUCUCAUGUGCUAAAGCUCUCCAUAAAGCCCACCACAUAAAGAAGAACAACGCUUGCAUUGUACUGCUGCAUCACAGAAAUAAUGCUAACUUGUCCAUUUAGAAGAUCUAAAUGUGAAGAUUCUGUACAGUUCAGCAGUUCAACAGCUCAAAUUCUUUACAUGAGUAGAAAAGCCCAUACAAACAUGCCUUAUUAAUUGUAUUUAGAAGUUUAAAUUAAAAUAUACUGCUAGUGUACUGAAAAAGUUUGAAAAGAAAAUGUAAGUGAAAUAUUAAUUAUUUGUACAAACAUAUUAUUCAAGAAAAACUCGAGCAGCAUUGUAGGCAGAGGGAGUCUCCUGUGGAAGUGGGAAGGAACACUGAUUAUGAACAAUCAUGCAUUGUUACAGGAAUGGAAAGUCAGUAAUUAAACAAAGCUUGAUCCAAACGACAGUCUGUUGGAAAAUACUCAUUGACAAAAUAGAUAAACCGCAACAGAAAGCUCAUUCACAUGCUAUUUCUGAACAAACUGUAUAAAACCAUGACAUAAAAUGCAUGAAUAUGGAAAAAUGACAAUGGAACAAUACUUCGGAAACACAGAAGUGGUAAUGCAUUGAAUUUCACCUUGGAUGCCCAUUAAAUUUCAGUGUUAUAUGGUCUUUUUCCAUAGGAAUCUGUGUGUUUUUCCUAAAAAACAUUUUUAAGGUUUUCUUCCCUAAAAUGAUCUUUAAAAUGAUUAAGUAUCUUGCUUAGGAAUGCAAAUGUAAUGUAAUACAAAUACAAAUGUAAUACAAUACAAAUUCCUCCUUACCAUUACUUGUCCUGAGUGUCUUUAUGUCUUAUUGGUUGGCUUACCUUCACCUCCAUAAAGUAAGAUAUCGACAAUGUAAUGCAUCAAGACAUCAUUAACAGUCACUCCUCCACUGCAUUUGCUUAAUCACCUAAAAAGAAAAAAAAAAAGUUCACUUGGACAUUGAAACCAGAUAUAGAGGAAGCAGUUCUUUCAUAAGUCUAGCAGAGUGCUCACUCAGCUCUGAUGGUUUCAGCACAGCUGCAAGGCCUAAACAAGAAUUCCUAGUCUUUAAUCUUUCUUCAACUUGCUCCAUCUUUAAAACAUAUGCAUAAUAUAGCCAUGAAACUCUUCAGAGAAGCUGAUUGGUUCUUCAAAGCCAGCAGUGCAGUCAAUUGACCCUUCACAAAGACCCACCCCCUUAGUUACUGUUGCUAUGUCCGACAAGCCAUGGCGCUCUCACACCACACAUCAUGUUCUCACGCAGUGAAAAAUACAUUGCAGAGCAAAGAGGACACUGGCAAUGUGUCAACAG